UAUUAAAUAGGUUUAGUGAAGGGAUUCAGUUUGAUUAAGUUUUAUUAAGUUCCUUGUACCCCUCUCCUUGAGGCCAAUUACAUUAUAAAAAAAAGUUCCUUCUUAAUUCAGUUUUGACGCUAUGCUAUUGGCUUUUUGUUGGUUAUUUGUAUCUCUGCGGCAUACCAGUUCCAUAUCAGUUGUGGUCAAACCAUAUAUAUUUUACUCUUUUUAAAAAAAAAAGUUAUUUGGGCUAUUUACUCUGUUACAAAGAUAUUGUAAGAAGUGUGUUGGCUUGAUUUGCUUUACAAAAGCUUCUCUACUUCAUAUUCCAUGCUUGUUUAACUAAACAUAAGAUCAAGUUGAUCCUUAAUCCUACAAACAUCUGUAUCCAAGAUCUUAUACUGCCAUUGGUUUUGCCUUGACUCCUCCAAAUACAGCAUCUGGAGCCAAUUUUCUUCAAUAUUUUCUGAAGUUGUACUCUGAGUAGUGUUUAACUUGGACCUCUACAUAAAUCAAUCAGAUGGCCAUGAGCCAGGAUAGCAGGCAGUCCCAACUCAUGAUCCUGGGGUUCAAGAUGCAGCAAAUCAUGCUGUUAAGUCCAUCCAGCAGAGGUCCAACUCGUUGUACCCCUAUGAGCUUCUAGAGAUCCUUCUAGCUAAGGCCAAGGUCAUUAAAGAUUAUGCCAAAUUCGAUUUGCUCCUGAAGCUGAGAAGGGGAAUUAAAGAAGAGAAGUUCAGGGUUGAAGUCAAUAUGAAUAUUGAAGGAAAGUUCUUUCUGGGUCAGUUUGAACAAGAUCACUCCUGAAUUCAGCAUCCAUCUUAUGUGUUAAAUAAAAUGUGGAAUUAUGAUGCUAUAAAAUGCUUUGGGAACUUAGCCUAUGAUGUGUAUAUGUGUGAAAUGUAGUCCUUUCUGACUUUUUUUGUUUUUGUUUUUGGAGGACCUUUCUGACCUUUUAAUCUACAUAGAUAUGGUUUUA